AUUCUAGUAAAAUUCAGUCUGGAGGGGAAAGUUCUGUUGGAUGAUGUAGGAAGUCUGAAGGAGAAGAAGAGAAGAUUUAAAAACUCUGGUGCUGGUGGAAUCUCUAUCAACUAGCUAAAUAAAAGACCAAAGGAAGAGUUCUGGCAAACCAGACUGCAUGCAGGGAAGAAACUUAGAGAACCAGAGCACAUGUGGGAUACAGGCAGAAUCUGAGGUACACUGAACAUAUUCACAGCUCUCUGUGCAAAGGAAGUGUGCCAUCAGCCUGUUCAUCAUCAUGUCAUCAGGUUCUCCUCUAUGCUCACAGCUGAUUCCAAUGGAUAGCUCCCUCCUCCCAGAACUCAAUUUCACUGCCACUGAACCAGUGAUAAAACCUGAGCACUGACAGAUGAACAACUGGUGUUCUUGAAGGUAAACAAAGAACCUUAUCACUUGGCUGCUGCAGAUUGUGACAGGGAGAUGAGGGCCGGGUAGUGAAGAUUCAAGAUGAGAAAUUGCAACAAAGGGGGAAACAUGCCUGACCAGAUUAGAAUCACUUUCAAGAUGCAUUGUCACAUUGUGAGCUGGUUAAAAUGUUACCUGAGUACAGUAAGGAAAAGAGACCUGGAUUACAAGCAGAAUUCAAAAUUCUCAGGUUGGUGAUCAUUCUUGCAUCGGGGCUUUCUUGGAGAAGUGAUUCCUGCAGCACUGAGUAAUGGUGUAAUUCCUAUGUCUUCUUUCACCUAGGAUGUCUCUUUUUCUGGGAUGUUUCAGUGCAAGAAAUAAAAGUCAUCUGGAGAACUCAGUAUUUAUGUAGACCCUAAAUGGGAUUACCUGUGAUUGGCCUGCCACCGUGGGGAAUAUUCCCGGAUGAUAGACAAGCAAUGUUGUCCCAGGUGCAGGAGAAGAAGGAAUAGGCACAUGGGGAUGCUUGAAGGAUUAAUAAAAUUGUAGAGAGACUUUUACUUCCACGGUAGAUCCUCAGUUUGAAUCCAGCAGAACCUGUCAGUUCUGAGCACCUGCUUGGUGCUCUUUUGGUCAUCACCAGCUCUCUUUAUCAGAAGUUGAUGACACCACAAUGAACAUCAACUUGAGCUUAAGACAAAUUGAAAAAAUUGGUUAGUUUAUGAAGAUUCUUCAUCUGAAGACCUAGUGAGUUUGUGAUAUAACCUGGGGAGAGAAGUAUCUUUUAGGACUGAAGGGGCUGCUCAAUUUCAGCGGCUGUGGAAUACAAUCCUUGCAAUAAACUGAGACUAUUUUAGGUCGAGUUAGGCUGAGUCUUUGUCCCCUUUGCUCCUUGGAAGGCUGCCUCAGAUUUCUCUGAUGGCCUUCUUUCCUGUCUGCUUUGGGAUGAUUUUCUAGACCCAGGAGCAUCUCUGUCCUGCAGGGCAGACUUGGGACACAUCACAACAGUUUGCACACGGUUUGAAUAGCGCAGUCCAGUGUCAGUAGCAAAUGCUCUGGUCACUUAAAAGCAGACUCUUGACCCUCUGUGAUUAAAAAUAAUCUGUAAGUGACUCCAGUACUUGGAGUUCCCUUCUGCUUUAGAAAAGCAGAGGAAGAAAACGCAUGUUUCUUGUUUUGUUUUGUUUUGAAAACAUUAUGCCUUUGUAAUAGGUGUGACUUAGGAAUUAGUUUUGAGUUGUUUGACCUCUGCUUAAAUUCAAAAUUAGAGUGUGGACAUUUCUCAAAACAAAACCACCCAACAAAGAAAAUGUUUAAGAAAUCAGAAACCAUUUAAGAAACCAUUUGAUGGAUUUUAAAUUUUAUUUUUCUGCUUUGACAACUAUUGUGUUAGGGAUCAUUUCAAUUCUGUUUAGAAGAAGUUCAGUUCUAAAGGAUAGUUGUAAGAUAGCUUUGUGUUUCCCAGGGGUUGGGAAUCAUGCAUCUAAUUUUUCAAAUGAAUGACAAGACUUGGAUGGAGUGUGUACUCUUGGAACAAAACUGUCUUGUUAAAAACCACUGUGUUUAGACAGCUUGCAGCAACAGGAGAUUAAAUUGCUGGAUUUGCCUUUUACAUAGUUUGAUUGAUGAGAAAACUCUGCUGCAGUAUUCAUUGUUUAUCAAAUGCCACUCGGCUAGCGGCACUAACAAAAACAAAUAUUUAUUGGGUGCAAGAUUAAAAAAUGAUAUUGCAGAAAUAUGUGAGCAGUUUCUGUAAAGAUUUCUAUACCUCUAGGGGCAAAAAGUUAAGAUGUGCUGAAACAAUGAUGUCAGGCACUGUGCAGCAUAACCAGGGAGACAUCAGGCACUGCCACCUUCACAGGGAAGAGGUUCUAGUUGGUGAUCUCUUACUGAGGGACAUUGCAGCUAUAACCUGUAUGUGUUUAUAACAUCAAAUGCUUUCCCUAAGUGCCUUCUAUUCCCCUCCUACUCCUUUCAAAAAUAAA